rnacentral:tRNA from 1 species
UCCCUGGUGGCUCGGACGGUAUAGAAUCUGCCUGCAAUGCAGGAGACCCAGGUUCGAUCCCUGGUUUGGAAA